GGGGAAUAUUGGACAAUGGGGGCAACCCUGAUCCAGCCAUGCCGCGUGAGUGAAGAAGGCCUUCGGGUUGUAAAGCUCUUUGAGCGGGGAGGAAGGUUCGUUGUUUAAUAAACAGCGGAAUUGACGUUACCUGCAGAACAAGCACCGGCUAACUCUGUGCCAGCAGCCGCGGUAAUACAGAGGGUGCGAGCGUUAAUCGGAAUUACUGGGCGUAAAGCGUGCGUAGGCGGUUUGAUAAGCUGGAUGUGAAAUCCCCGGGCUUAACCUGGGAACUGCAUUCAGGACUGUUUGACUAGAGUCUGGGAGAGGGUGGUGGAAUUUCCUGUGUAGCGGUGAAAUGCGUAGAUAUAGGAAGGAACAUCAGUGGCGAAGGCGACUGCCUGGCCCAAGACUGACGCUGAGGCACGAAAGCGUGGGUAGCAAAC
rnacentral:rRNA from 1 species